CGUACCCGAGAUGUUCUUUCCUUCACAAAGGCUGUAAAUGUUUACGUAGAUGGGGUGGUACUCGGUGUUUUUUUUUUAACAGUGUGGAUGUGGGGUUGAAGUGGAGGCAGGAAACUUUUAAUCUGCCUUUCUGCUUAACAUGUCCAAGUAUACGCAUUUAGCAGUCAUUGCUACAGGAAUGGGGACUGUAACCGUGUAAUAAAAACACCUGCUAUUUUGGACAGUCCAGAAGCAUCAAGUACCAAAUUUACUUUUGGGGACAUUUAAAGAAUAUUAGCCCGGGAGUCUGAAACAUAAUUUUCAGAACGCCCCCACCCCGAAAAAAAAAAACUGCUGAAAACGGAAAAGUUUUAUUCGUUACGUAGAUGACCCCACGUCCGACCGAGAGGUGUUUGUCCAUUUUUGAGAAAACAUAAUUUAUUUCAGCGUGGAGGCGGUCACUUAACUCUUUAUCUACGGGAAGACAAGUGCCCUUUUGUUUCGCUUAUUGCUCAAGAGAGUUUUCACACGUCUAGAACGGCCCCAGAACAUUUCCAGUUUAAGCCGAAUGUGAGAUGUUUUAAAUUUUCACCAUUUAUGCUGGUUUGGCCCUACUUUCACCUAACUUCUCCGUUUUUUUAUCAUUUACUACCGAAACAGGAAAGGAGGCACCUCUGAUGUCUGGAGUAUUGAAACACAGCUUUCUUUGUGUGGAUGAUAUAUAGCAUCCAUCGGGGCACCAUCUAUCUUACAUCCUAUUGUGUUCCUGUAAGAUUCCCACAGCGGGGGCAAAGCCAGUAUCCCCAGGUUCGAACUUCAGCAGGUGUACAAACUCUUCUUGGGGGUUGGAGUUCUAGGUGGUUGCUGUUUGUUGCUAAGGAACAGACUGUGGAGGGAUGGGCAGUAUCUCAACACGUCAUGCCAUAAAACCCCUUGCAGUGGAGCGCCUCCUAGUAGUAAGCGCCAGACCAAGACGAAAGGGAAAACGUGAACCUGUAGUUGUUUUGUGACAAAAGCUAGGGAUCUUUAUUUCAAGGCAACAUGACCAGACUUGGCUUGCUAGUUUUCAUAGCCGUCAUUGCUGUUUUUCUACAGACAAGUUGCAAGGCUCAGAAUGCAUCUACGACAGCUAGUCCUUCAAAUACAGCUAUUGCCAACAGCACAAAAUCUUCAACAAUCGGCGGCACAACAACCAACAACACAUCCCCUGGUGCUUUACGGGGAUCCAUCAGUUCUUUACCUGUUACCAUAUAUCUUCUACCUCUUCUGAUCCCUGCUUUUGUUCUUCAACUUCUCUCUUAGAAGAAAAGGCUUAUAUUGAUUUGAGACCCAUAGGCUUUAGAAUUACUCCUUUGAUUUUGUACAGUUUUUCUCUGGCAUGCAUUCAGGACAGUUACAGCUACAGUUUGGCCAUUAAUUUUUUUCUUUAAAGCUUGCAAACCAAACUAGUGAAGAAAUGUAUCAGCCAAGCUUCCUUUCUGUAUGCCAGCAUGACCACGUGCAGCAGAAAUAACCUGAUAAUUCUGUCCCUUCAUUACAAGUGCAGAGCAGAGUUGUGCUCAGGGACUGAACAGCAACUGUACAUGAAGUCUUGUUAAUCAGAACUGAUGGAUCAUGCUGUAUUUUCUGCAAAUAAAUUAAUAAAAGACCAGCUAGAUAUUAAACCAGCUUGUUUAAUCAUUAUGUGGAUGGCUGAAUCAUGAAAAUCGCAACUACAAUAACUAAAUCAAUGAAUUCUUCAACAAUAUGCCUCCUAGAGACAUCCGCUACGUACAUCCUCAAACUCUAGUAUCCAUACUUGAGAAGUCUUACAUUCUUAGCCAUCGGGAAAUGGAUGGCACACACCUACCUAUUUGGAUGUAUUGGAAUACCAGCUAACAUGGAAGUACAACAGAGUACUUGUUGAAUCUCCUCCUUUGGAAGCAUCUGGAAGUCUCGCAAAGCAUGUGGCAAAUUUUCUUUUUAGAAGACUGCCACUGUAAAACCCAUGUUAAUGCAGUGGGGGUAGCUUUUCAUAAUAUUAGACUGUACUUUCAAACUGUUCUUGACUUUUUCAGUAUAUUCCUGACUCAAGUGGGAAACAUUUUAAUUCUUGAAUGAGAAAAAAUAUAUAUAUAUUUUUUUUGUUAUUUUUUUUUUUGGGGGGGGUGGAGGGUGGGCUGACUGCAUGCAAUUUAUUUUUCCAUUUUAAUGGAAAAGAAACUGUACAUCUGAAAUGCCACUAUAUUUUGACCUCUGUUUGCAUGAUCUACUUCCUUACCUGUUUUGCAAACAAGCCAUUCUAUUAGUUUACAAGACCAAGGAUAAAAUCAUCUGUAUCUGUCUAGCUUGCCUUUAUUAAGUUUAUUUUUGUAGGAUAGAAUUAAAAAAUGUUUCUUAUGUUUCCCCUUCUAAUUCUAUCUUCUAGUCAUGAACUGUGGAAGUGAAGUAUGAAAUAUAAAGGAAAACAGCCUGGUGCUACAGCAGCCAAAAGUGCCUUGAGUGGUUAAGUCAGGCACAGUACACAUUUAUUUGUGAUUAAAAAAAAAAAACAGAAUUAAGUUAAUGAUGCUUACAUACUUUAAAGUACUUUGGUCUCACUUUAAACCCCAUUAAAUUUAAAUAUUGUUUAAUCACUGCAUCAGAUUAGUUAUAGACAAAUGUUAGUUGCAGAAUAUAUAUAAUAUGGUUCUAGACAUCUAGUUAUGACAUUUUUUCUUUGUCUUUGACCAGUUUAGAUACA